GGCCUAUCACAUGCAAGUCGAGCGGAAACGACACUAACAAUCCUUCGGGUGCGUUAAUGGGCGUCGAGCGGCGGACGGGUGAGUAAUGCCUAGGAAAUUGCCUUGAUGUGGGGGAUAACCAUUGGAAACGAUGGCUAAUACCGCAUAAUGCCUACGGGCCAAAGAGGGGGACCUUCGGGCCUCUCGCGUCAAGAUAUGCCUAGGUGGGAUUAGCUAGUUGGUGAGGUAAUGGCUCACCAAGGCGACGAUCCCUAGCUGGUCUGAGAGGAUGAUCAGCCACACUGGAACUGAGACACGGUCCAGACUCCUACGGGAGGCAGCAGUGGGGAAUAUUGCACAAUGGGCGAAAGCCUGAUGCAGCCAUGCCGCGUGUAUGAAGAAGGCCUUCGGGUUGUAAAGUACUUUCAGUUGUGAGGAAGGGGGUAACGUUAAUAGCUCUAUCUCUUGACGUUAGCAACAGAAGAAGCACCGGCUAACUCCGUGCCAGCAGCCGCGGUAAUACGGAGGGUGCGAGCGUUAAUCGGAAUUACUGGGCGUUAAGCGCAUGCAGGUGGUUCAUUAACUCAGAUGUGAAAGCCCGGGGCUCAACCUCGAACUGCAUUUGAAACUGGUGAACUAGAGUACUGUAGAGGGGGGUAGAAUUUCACGUGUA
rnacentral:rRNA from 1 species